rnacentral:rRNA from 1 species
GAUGAACGCUGGCGGCGUGCCUAAUACAUGCAAGUCGAGCGAACGGACGAGAAGCUUGCUUCUCUGAUGUUAGCGGCGGACGGGUGAGUAACACGUGGAUAACCUACCUAUAAGACUGGGAUAACUUCGGGAAACCGGAGCUAAUACCGGAUAAUAUUUUGAACCGCAUGGUUCAAAAGUGAAAGACGGUCUUGCUGUCACUUAUAGAUGGAUCCGCGCUGCAUUAGCUAGUUGGUAAGGUAACGGCUUACCAAGGCAACGAUGCAUAGCCGACCUGAGAGGGGGACCGGCACCCUGGGAACGGGAAACCGGCCCAACCCCCUAGGGGGGGCAGCGGAGGGAAUCUUCCGCAAUGGGCGAAAGCCUGACGGAGCAACGCCGCGUGAGUGAUGAAGGUCUUCGGAUCGUAAAACUCUGUUAUUAGGGAAGAACAUAUGUGUAAGUAACUGUGCACAUCUUGACGGUACCUAAUCAGAAAGCCACGGCUAACUACGUG